rnacentral:rRNA from 1 species
AUUGAACGCUGGCGGCAUGCUUUACACAUGCAAGUCGAACGGUAACAGGCCUUCGGGCGCUGACGAGUGGCGAACGGGUGAGUAAUGCAUCGGAACGUGCCCAGUCGUGGGGGAUAACGCAGCGAAAGCUGUGCUAAUACCGCAUACGAUCUAUGGAUGAAAGCGGGGGACCGUAAGGCCUCGCGCGAUUGGAGCGGCCGAUGUCAGAUUAGGUAGUUGGUGGGGUAAAGGCUCACCAAGCCAACGAUCUGUAGCUGGUCUGAGAGGACGACCAGCCACACUGGGACUGAGACACAGCCCAGACACCUACGGGAGGCAGCAGUGGGGAAUUUUGGACAAUGGGCGCAAGCCUGAUCCAGCAAUGCCGCGUGCAGGAAGAAGGCCUUCGGGUUGUAAACUGCUUUUGUACGGAACGAAAAGGUCUGGGUUAAUACCCUGGGCUCAUGACGGUACCGUAAGAAUAAGCACCGGCUAACUACGUGCCAGCAGCCGCGGUAAUAC